AUAAUGGGUCAGCGACUUAUAUUCUGUAGCAAGGUUAACCGAAUAGGGGAGCCGAAGGGAAACCGAGUCUUAACUGGGCGUUAAGUUGCAGGGUAUAGACCCGAAACCCGGUGAUCUAGCCAUGGGCAGGUUGAAGGUUGGGUAACACUAACUGGAGGACCGAACCGACUAAUGUUGAAAAAUUAGCGGAUGACUUGUGGCUGGGGGUGAAAGGCCAAUCAAACCGGGAGAUAGCUGGUUCUCCCCGAAAGCUAUUUAGGUAGCGCCUCGUGAAUUCAUCUCCGGGGGUAGAGCACUGUUUCGGCAAGGGGGUCAUCCCGACUUACCAACCCGAUGCAAACUGCGAAUACCGGAGAAUGUUAUCACGGGAGACACACGGCGGGUGCUAACGUCCGUCGUGAAGAGGGAAACAACCCAGACCGCCAGCUAAGGUCCCAAAGUCAUGGUUAAGUGGGAAACGAUGUGGGAAGGCCCAGACAGCCAGGAUG
rnacentral:rRNA from 1 species